rfam:Streptomyces violaceusniger Tu 4113, complete genome.
CUUGACCGACCCCAGCCACAGCGGCCGGUCCCCGGACCGGUCCCGGCCGUAGGUGGUGAUCAGCGCGUGGGCUUC